UAUGUACUCCCUCCAUCCGGAAUUACUUGUCGCGAAAAUGAAUGUAUCUAGAUGUAUUUUAGUUCUAGAUACAUCCAUUUCUGAGACAAGUAAUUCCGAACGGAGGGAGUAUUUA
rnacentral:pre_miRNA from 1 species